CACGUUAAAACACCAGUUCUCGUACGAUCACCGAAGUUAAGAAACGUCGAAUCUGGUCAGUAACUAGAUGGGUGACCGCUUGGGAAUACCAGGCGCUGUAU
rnacentral:rRNA from 1 species